CUGCUUUUACCUGUGGCCAUGUCAGAGAAAGAUUUUAAGAAAGAGCAAGGAGUGCUAACAGGAAUGAAUGAAACUUCUGCUGUAAUCAUUGCUGCACCACAGAAUUUCACUCCCUCUGUGAUCUUUCAGAAGGUUGUAAAUGUAGCCAAUGUAGGUGCAGUCCCUUCUGGCCAGGAUAAUAUACACAGGUUUGCAGCUAAAACUGUGCACAGUGGGUCAUUGAUGCUAGUCACAGUGGAACUGAAGGAAGGCUCUACAGCCCAGCUUAUCAUAAACACUGAGAAAACUGUGAUUGGCUCUGUUCUGCUGCGGGAACUGAAGCCUGUCCUGUCUCAGGGGUAACCUGCUUACAUCUGGACUUUAGAAUCUGGCACACAACAAAAGUGCCUGGCAUCCACUACUGCUGCCUUUCAUUUAUAAUAAUAGCCCUUCCAUCUGGCAGUGGGGGUAGAAUACACUCUUGACAUUCUUGUCUCCUGCUUUAGAAUGCUAGUGUGUAUCUAUCAUGUAUGCAAUACUUUCCCCCUUUUUGCUUUGCUAACCAAAGAGCAUAUAUUUUACUGUCAGUUGUCUCAACUCUUGAAUCCAUGUGGCGUUUUCUCUGUCCUGCUGCUUCUUUUGGCCUCCUCGUUUUCCUUCUCUUUUUCGACAAUGGUAGACAUGAAUGAGAUAUUUAAAGUUCAUUGGAAAUCUUCUUCCCUACAGCAGUAAGCAAAAAUUAGCAAAGAGAUAGUCUAAAUGGCCUCUCAGCUUGGUAUGUGAAAAUGAGAUCACAUACUUUUUAAAUCCAAAUACAAAAGCAUAGUCUCUGCAAGAUUUUGUUCUUUGAAUUUCUUGAUAUUGUAAUUGAUUAUUGAUAACUGUCAUCAUGAAAUUAUCUCUCAAUAAUAAGAUAAAUAAACUAGCAUAUGAAUCA
rnacentral:lncRNA from 1 species